rnacentral:rRNA from 1 species
UACAGAGGGUGCGAGCGUUGUUCGGAAUUAUUGGGCGUAAAGGGUUCGUAGGCGGUGUAGCAAGUUGGGAGUGAAAUCUCUGGGCUCAACCCAGAGGCUGCUUCCAAAACUGCUGUGCUUGAGUGUGGGAGAGGCGCGUGGAAUUGCAGGUGUAGCGGUGAAAUGCGUAGAUAUCUGCAGGAACACCCGUGGCGAAAGCGGCGCGCUGGACCACUACUGACGCUGAGGAACGAAAGCUAGGGGAGCAAACAG